rnacentral:misc_RNA from 1 species
UACCACCCUGCUCUCACGAGCAAAAUACGGUAAUAUGGCUACCGGAGCUGCCGGCGAUGCAAUUUUCCGGGGAGUAUUCGAAGGAUCUAUCUCCGGUCACGAUCUAGAAAUUUCAAAAAGGCCAUACCACCGGAAUUGUGGCUGUGCGUUACAUAAAUCGAGAGGGAACUGUUCUCAUUCGUCGAGAAAUAUGAAUAUUUCGUAUCCGAUUCGCCGGUCGUGGAGUGAAGGAUGUUUAUCGUUGGUUGCGGCGGCGUCAGCAGCGGCGUCCGGUCAUUCAUCGCCGUGUUCUUCACCUACUGUGACGGUUGCCGAUAUGAGUAAGAGGAAUUUGCUUCCGGUUAAUGAAGACGGUGAAGAUCUCGUUUUCCGUAAGGUUUAAUAAUUUUAAUCUUUUUUUCUAAUUAAGGUAAUAAUAAUUGCUGUUUUUUUAUACUCUAUUAAACAAAAAAAUUAUUAGCUGUUGUUUGAUUUUUAUGAGAUUUGUUUGUUUAAUGUGUAUUUGACAGCGAAGAAAAAUUCUUAAAUUUUGG